rnacentral:tRNA from 1 species
UCCCUGAUGGUCUAGUGGCUAGGAUUUGGCGCUUCACUGUCAGCGGCCCGGUUUCGAUUCCGGCUCAGGGAA